CAAAAGAGAAAGAUCUUUUUUUUUCCAGGAAUGUCCAUGUAAUCAUUCGCUUGAGAUCUGAUGACUUGGGCAAACAUAAACUAGCAAAUUAACAAAUUUUGGUAAGAAUUUGUUUAUUCAUGGUAGUGAGGUUGGCAUCAAAUGUUUUUUAUCGGACUUGCUUUCACUAUUGUUUAUAUGCUCAUUUUAGUAGCUUUUCUUUUCUCAUAAUCGACAGGUUUGUACUUUAAUAAGUCUAGAAUACUUUCGAGAUUCUUGUUUUGGUAGCAGGAUUGAUGCCGGACUCGGAAAUUAACUUCAGUUAUAGCAAUGUGAGAUGUUGGUAUCGAUGCCAUGUGGUAGCUAGAGAGGUUAUAAGCAUCAAUGUCCUAUACAAGAGCUCCAUUUUAUUUUGCUUAAUCAAACAAAAUUUACAUUGGGUUUUCUUGUUUUUUGAUCAUUUUUUGUUUCGUUUGUGGAAGGCUAACAGUGAUGUAGAUGAGUUUAUCACUUUUGAGAAUGAUAGAUACUUUAUUGUAACGAAUAAUUAUUUUAAUGAAAUGAUAUUUUUUUA